GACCCAUAAGAUCUGUAUGUCAAUUGCAGGAGCACCUUCCUCUCGUUUCAAUGAACUGUUGUGAAAAUUCUCUCUACAGGGGAUGAAUAUGGAGAGAAUGAGCCUGUCGUGUUGAUGUCAUCUUCAAGGCUAAGGAUUGAAACACCAUUGCUGCUAAAUUCACAGUGAUGUGGUCACCGCCGCUGAAAUGCAGCAGUUUCUUCUGGGUUCUUCCUAGAGGACGAAAGUUGUACGUCAGCAACAUAAAAUGCAUGAGUCCCCCUUCCUGACCCUGGUGAGAUGCCAAGAAAGAGGUGGUUUUCUGGAGGAGGUUUGCUUGGGGGGAAGUGUCUGUAUCCACUUCUGUGACGUAGAGUGCCAGCCUGUAAUUGAGAAUUGUAUGUAAUUGAGAAUUGUAUGUAAUUGAGAAUGAAUGCCACCUGUGUAUACACAGGAAACAGGUGAAGCCAUUUUUCUCAUGAAUGGGAUUGAACUAUUCUCCCGCACAAGGAUUUCUCAACUGCUUAAAUAUCACCUCCUCAACAAGGGCCCAUCUGACUAUCAUGUUGGAAAUAGCAACCCACCUCCCCAUAUGGAUUCUUCCUUAAUGUUUUCGUCUUCCUUAACCCCAUUAAUUUAAUGGAAUAUGUCGGUUUCAGAUUUAUUAUGUCUAUUGAUUAUUGUCUAUCUCUUCUAGCUAGAAUGCAGUCUUUUUGGGGACAGGAAUGUGUGUUUGUUUUUUGCCUAAAGAGUUGAUAAUUUGUUGAAUGAACAAACAGAUACAUAGAUUUAUUCACCUUUGCUUGUAUAUGCACAGAGAAGUUCUAGAAACUUCCUGAAAAAAUAAUAACAGUUGUUCCUAGGGCAAGGAAAAUGGGGAGAGGUGGUCUGGAUGAACUGGGGGUGGGGUGGGAGGAAGAUUUCAAUUUUUGAUUUUUGAACCAUGUGAAUUUUUGAGGUCUGUGUGUGUGUAUUCAGAAAUCACUGUUUCUAAAGUCACCUGCCAUCUCUGACAGGCCUGACUUCCACCUCUCCAUUCUCUCAAAAGAGAUCUCUCUUCCUUCUUUUUCCCGUGCCUCUUUAAUUUCUCUGUAAAGCCUUAAAACAGUAAAUUUUUCCCUCCAACAUACAUAUGCAUCAGCACAUAUCCUUUCUGUGUAAAUGAAUCUGUAAGAAAAGUGUAACAUUGAACUUCGGUUUCAAAGCAGAGCUAUCCCACUCAAAUACAGAACGUAACCAAGUGUUUAGUAAAGGCUUCUUGUUCAACAGCAACAACAAAAAUUGACUCCAGGAAGAGUGAUAGUGACCUUAGAGGGUUGGAUAAACUGAUGGUUCAUGCUGGCAACUGCUUUGUCGGGCAUUAGCCCUCUCUCCCAGGGUCACCUAACAGAAGGUCCGUUGUGUACAGAUGAAGUAACUACCGUGCUGGAAACACAUGCUCAGGGGUUCUCCCUGCUGAGAGUUUCCCUGAGGCCAGAUAUUGGCUUCCAGGCUGCACCCUCCACCAUUUUAAUGGAAGGACUUACUUGUGUUAAGCCAUCUGAGGGGAAUGCCUCAGAGAGACUGAGAGAACACAAACAAGCAGAUCUGCAACGUGGUGUGAAGAAAACAGAAGAGGCACGUGAGCUGGGAUGUGUUAAACAUGAUGAAUUCAUUUACGCAGGCACCAGCAGAAUCUAAAAUCAAGACAAAGCCAGGAGCCUUGCCUUCAAAUCGCCAGUGUGUGGAGCACAAGUAAAAACUUAAGAUAUAGAUGCUUUCUUCUUCCCCUCCAGCCUCUUUUUCACCUCCCCACACAUUUUCCUGCCAGCUAUAGGCAAGCGAAUUAUUAUUUGGGCCAAAUUCUUCUAGGAAGGAAAGAGUAAACUCAAUCCAUCUUCAUUCCUCUCCUCUGACAAGGUAGGUAAGACAGUAAUGAUAUCAGUCUUUUAACUCACUGGAUUUUGUUCACAGGGAUUUAAUGAAUAUUCGUUAAUACACUGUAAUAAGCAAUGAGAAAUUAUGAAGCAUAGCAAAGUGAUAAAGGUCAUGAAUUAUAAAUUCCUAAACCCUUAUGCAGAAAACUGAUUUCUUCUUAGUGCAUUAAGAUCUGACCAUCCCCAGAUGCAGUGCCUUUUGAGUACAUCUAUGAAUUUUAAUUCAGUAAAUAAUUAA